rnacentral:rRNA from 1 species
AGCCCCGUACACAAAAGCGCAUGUGCUGUGAGCUCGAUGAGUAGGGCGGGACACGUGGUAUCCUGUCUGAAUAUGGGGGGACCAUCCUCCAAGGCUAAAUACUCCUGACUGACCGAUAGUGAACCAGUACCGUGAGGGAAAGGCGAAAAGAACCCCGGCGAGGGGAGUGAAAAAGAACCUGAAACCGUGUACGUACAAGCAGUGGGAGCACAGGUUUACCUGUGUGACUGCGUACCUUUUGUAUAAUGGGUCAGCGACUUAUAUUCUGUAGCAAGGUUAACCGUAUAGGGGAGCCGUAGGGAAACCGAGUCUUAACCGGGCGUUAAGUUGCAGGGUAUAGACCCGAAACCCGGUGAUCUAGCCAUGGGCAGGUUGAAGGUUGGGUAACACUAACUGGAGGACCGAACCGACUAAUGUUGAAAAAUUAGCGGAUGACCUGUGGCUGGGGGUGAAAGGCCAAUCAAACCGGGAGAUAGCUGGUUCUCCCCGAAAGCUAUUUAGGUAGCGCCUCGUGAAUUCAUCUCCGGGGGUAGAGCACUGUUUCGGCUAGGGGGCCAUCCCGGCUUACCAACCCGAUGCAAACUGCGAAUACCGGAGAAUGUUAUCACGGGAGACACACGGCGGGUGCUAACGUCCGUCGUGAAGAGGGAAACAACCCAGACCGCCAGCUAAGGUCCCAAAGUCAUGGUUAAGUGGGAAACGAUGUGGGAAGGCCCAGACAGCCAGGAUGUUGGCUUAGAAGCAGCCAUCAUUUAAAGAAAGCGUAAUAGCUCACUGGUCGAGUCGGCCUGCGCGGAAGAUGUAACGGGGCUAAACCAUGCACCGAAGCUGCGGCAGCGACACUCAGGUGUUGUUGGGUAGGGGAGCGUUCUGUAAGCCUGCGAAGGUGGCCUGUGAGGGUUGCUGGAGGUAUCAGAAGUGCGAAUGCUGACAUAAGUAACGAUAAAGCGGGUGAAAAGCCCGCUCGCCGGAAGACCAAGGGUUCCUGUCCAACGUUAAUCGGGGCAGGGUGAGUCGACCCCUAAGGCGAGGCCGAAAGGCGUAGUCGAUGGGAAACGGGUUAAUAUUCCCGUACUUGGUGUUACUGCGAAGGGGGGACGGAGAAGGCUAUGUUGGCCGGGCGACGGUUGUCCCGGUUUAAGCGUGUAGGUGUGUGUUCCAGGUAAAUCCGGUUCACUUUAACACUGAGGCGUGAUGACGAGGCACUACGGUGCUGAAGCAACAAAUGCCCUGCUUCCAGGAAAAGCCUCUAAGCAUCAGGUAACAUCAAAUCGUACCCCAAACCGACACAGGUGGUCAGGUAGAGAAUACCAAGGCGCUUGAGAGAACUCGGGUGAAGGAACUAGGCAAAAUGGUGCCGUAACUUCGGGAGAAGGCACGCUGACAC